rnacentral:rRNA from 1 species
UACGAAGGGACUAGCGUUGUUCGGAAUCACUGGGCGUAAAGCGCACGUAGGCGGAUUUGUAAGUCAGGGGUGAAAUCCCGGGGCUCAACCUCGGAACUGCCUUUGAUACUGCGGAUCUCGAGUCCGAUAGAGGUGGGUGGAAUUCCUAGUGUAGAGGUGAAAUUCGUAGAUAUUAGGAAGAACACCGGUGGCGAAGGCGGCCCACUGGAUCGGUACUGACGCUGAGGUGCGAAAGCGUGGGGAGCAAACAGG